UAUUGCACAAUGGAGGAAACUCUGAUGCAGCGACGCCGCGUGAGUGAAGAAGUAGUUCGCUAUGUAAAGCUCUAUCAGCAGGGAAGAUAGUGACGGUACCUGACUAAGAAGCUCCGGCUAAAUACGUGCCAGCAGCCGCGGUAAUACGUAUGGAGCAAGCGUUAUCCGGAUUUACUGGGUGUAAAGGGAGUGUAGGUGGCCAGGCAAGUCAGAAGUGAAAGCCCGGGGCUCAACCCCGGGACUGCUUUUGAAACUGCAGGGCUAGAGUGCAGGAGGGGCAAGUGGAAUUCCUAGUGUAGCGGUGAAAUGCGUAGAUAUUAGGAGGAACACCAGUGGCGAAGGCGGCUUGCUGGACUGUAACUGACACUGAGGCUCGAAAGCGUGGGGAGCAAACAGG
rnacentral:rRNA from 1 species